rnacentral:tRNA from 1 species
GCCGUGCGCGGCCGGCGGUUCGCGGCCGGCGGUUCGCGACCGGCGGUUCGCGAUCGGGCCGCUCGCGGGCGGCCGUUCGUCGCCCGGCGUGCGCGGCG